rnacentral:tRNA from 1 species
GGGGCCAUAGCUCAGCUGGGAGAGCGCCGCCUUUGCAAGGCGGAGGUCGUCGGUUCGAUCCCGACUGGCUCCAC